UCUUCCUUAGCUCAGUUGGUUAGAGCACCUGACUGUUAAUCAGGGGGUCGUUGGUUCAAGUCCAACAGGGAGAGCGA
rnacentral:tRNA from 1 species